AGAUUGAACGCUGGCGGCAGGCCUAACACAUGCAAGUCGAGCGGUAGAGAGGUGCUUGCAUCUCUUGAGAGCGGCGGACGGGUGAGUAAUGCCUAGGAAUCUGCCUAGUGGUGGGGGAUAACGUUCGGAAACGGACGCUAAUACCGCAUACGUCCUACGGGAGAAAGGCGGGGGACCUUCGGGCCUCGCGCCAUUAGAUGAGCCUAGGUCGGAUUAGCUAGUUGGUGAGGUAAUGGCUCACCAAGGCGACGAUCCGUAACUGG
rnacentral:rRNA from 1 species